UCAUAUGACUUAAAACCAACUUUAAAUGUGGAUUGUUUUUUUUGUUAUUUUUUUGUUUAUAAUUAUUUCAUAAUUAUCAUCAAGUAAAAGUUGGAAUUAACAACAAAACUAAAAUUUAUGAAUAAACUCACAUUUAGUAAUCAAACCUACUUCGCUCAAUAUUUAUCAUACGUUUUCUAGUGUGUUAAUAUUGCCUACGAAAAUAUGUUGUUUCGACUUUCAUGGCUGGUCUUAUGAUAUUUGUUUAUGCAAAGGAAUCUGGAAUGUUCGAGUUCAAAUUUCUCUUUCCAUAAGUUAAGUGAAUUUAGAGCAUAUCCAAAUAUGUUAUUUCAACUUGCAUGAUUGGUCUUACAAUUCUUGUACGACAUAAUAAAACGUGCACACGUACAAUUGCGAAAAUCGAACUUGUAAUGCGCACGAGCACAUGAACAAAAACAGUAACAUUUUGCGUAAAAUGUAUAUACGUGACUGAGUUAAAAAAUCUAGGCUAGAGCUAGGCUUUUGACUAACGAGAAUUAACUUUUCAUUUUUAUAAUUGAGUAGACAACUAUCAGAAAUCAAACCAUUUUGGUAUCCGAAUAAGUUGGGUGCAUACUUUGAAAAAAUUUAUAUCAGAAAUUCCUAGUUAUCAGAAUUGCAAAAUGCCAUUCUGACUUUCAUUUUAACUUUUGAAAAAACAUUCAGAUUCAAAAUAUUUGUGUACAUAUUCAAAAAAUUUAUUGUCGAAAAUUAGAAAUCCAUUCCGA
rnacentral:lncRNA from 1 species